rnacentral:ncRNA from 1 species
UAAAAAGCGAAGAAGUGAAGAGCAAUAUUUCUUAAUUAUUAGAGACCUUUUGGUUGGUGAAAAAAAGGAUUUGAGUGUAUUGUAAAUGGUCACAGAGCUGAACUAAUGAGUAUAUAUAAGUUAGUUCCGGUUGAUAACCGUUAAUAAUCAUUGAGGUAAGAUUAAAAUUUAUUUUAAGAUUAUAAAAUUGGGUGGUAACACGGUCAUUUCGUCCCUUGU